AAUGAGUAUCUAGUCCCUCCUCCCAAAAAGUGGUAGGCUUGUAACACUGGAGUGACCCCAUGUGUCUCUACUUCUGCCUUCAACUCCUCCCGCGAUUUCUGUAUCAUAGUUCAGCUGGUGCCCAAGUUGAUGUAUCAUGAUGACCUCUCAUUCGUAGCUGAAUUUGAACCUAGGCAUAGAUAUAAGAGAGAGCCGGUCUCGCUGACCUUAGCUGUGUUGUUAAAAAUAGGAGUCGCAGCCGGAGUAGGAACAGGGACAGCUGCUAUUAUCCAAGGGAACCAACAUUAUGAGGGACUAAGGACAGCUAUUGAUGAAGACCUAAAAACCAUAGAGCAAUCCAUUACUAAACUUGAAGAAUCUCUGACUUCCCUCUCUGAAGUAGUCUUGCAGAACAGACGAGGGCUGGAUCUGCUGUUUCUAAAAGAAGGAGGAUUGUGUGCAGCUUUAAAAGAAAAAUGCUGCUUUUAUGCAGACCAUUCCGGAAUAGUAAGAGAUUCAAUGUCAAAGCUUAGGGAGAGGCUAGACCAGAGAAAGAGAGAACGAGAAGCCGGCCAAGGGCUAUUUGAAUCUUAGUUCACUAGGUCUCCGUGGUUUACGACCUUGAUAUCCACUCUGGCUGGGCCCUUACUCAUCCUUGUGUUGCUCCUCACUUUAAGACCCUGCAUAUUAAAUCGGCUGAUAACUUUUGUUAGAGAAAGAGUGAGUGCCGUUCAUGUACUAAUGUUGAAGCAACAAUAUUAUUCACUCACCCAACAAGAAGAUACAAACAUUCCAUGAUUAGAAUGCCCUUAAAGAGAAGUGGGGAAAUGUAGAACCUGAAGAAUCAAAAGUUAGCAUAAGCACAGCCAUCUUAAAGGCUCAAACACCAUUUUCUAACCUAGAAGGAGAAAAAUUACUAGAACUUUGAAAAACAAGUUAGUCAGCCAGUGUUAAUUGUAGUGACCUUUAGUUAGCCAACCUCAAUCAGUUAAGCUUAUCUUGCUAGAACCACCCUAAACAUUCUGAAAGUGAUUUUAUCUAACCAGACCCCCAGGAUGAGGCGUCAGCCGAAAAUUUAUGUGUCUAUGAAAAAAAAAAACACUGUAUUGUGACUGUAGAAAAUACUGCCCCUUUGAAAAUGCUAUAAAAACUUCUGGCUUUGUGAGUUCGGGGUCCUCGUUGAGACCCGCUGCGUCGGGCUAACGCAUGGACCCCAGCUAGCUGGCCUCUGAAUAAAUUCCUCUUGCUUGUUGCAUCAAGAGAUGCCUUCCGUGAGUGAUUUGGGGCGGCGUCCUCCUCUGGGAGAAUCCAACAGUUUCCGCUUUCAUCAGAUCUUUAACCAUUGUCAUUUGUAAGUCUUUUGUCAUCUAUACUCACUGUUUAUUACUCCUAAACUAGUAAGAAACUAGAUUUGAGCAGAACAGGUAUUAGUUACAUAAGAUUAAGUAAACUAAAGAAGAUGAUUUUGUAACUUUUUGUUUCAAAUGUUGAUAAAGUGUUUUAAGCUUUUUCUCUUAAGCUGACAACAGUUUAGUAAAUGACUGCCUUUAUAAGCAGAAUUGAAACUUUAUCUUUCUCUCUACCUGAUCCCUCCAGAAUUUAAAAACUCUCAGUGACUAUUUUUAUAUUUCAUGGCAAUAUGUUUAUUUGCACAAGUUCAAUAAGAAUCUGCUUUCCUUGUAAGAAGACUAAUUAAAAACACUGAUUAUAUUACCAAAGCUUUGACUAGAAUGUCAUACCUGAGAGACACAUGUGUAAACUCAGAUAUGAACAGACAGCUUUAAGGAACUAAGAUUGACUUCAUAAAGCCAACAACGUCCCUUAGAAGAACUGGCCUAGUACCUUGCUUACAGAGUUCCCAGCAGCCUUACCAGAAGCCACAAAACUGCAAAUAGUAAUAGAAAUGAAACCCAGAAUAGAAGCGCCAACCUUCUGAGGCCCUCUCAACUGACCAGUGAUGGAGACCUAGCUGCACCCUUUACUGCACCCCCUUCUCAGCACGAAGCAGCCAGAGCCGUCAUCGCCCCUUUUCCCUAGCAGCAGCUAGAGUCUCUAUCUGUAGAGGGGAGAAUGAGACAGGGACCAUAGGCUAAGACA